rnacentral:lncRNA from 1 species
UAUGCUCCACCACUGCACUGGACCUUACAAAUCAAAGAGAGAGCUAUGAAGAACUUCGAGAUGUCAACCACAGAGCACUAGUAAGCCAAGGGUGCUGAGCUCCGUGAGCCACACCACAGUCUUCUGAGGGUCCAGGUCUUGUCUAUAAUUUGUCAGCUCCUGAUCUCCUUGACUACUGCUACCGUUAAGUAAGGAAAACGUGCUGGACAGUCUCCAGGGAGUCGUGACUGUCCCCUCUGCUAGGGUGGGAAAAGCCACCAAGAAAUCAAGUCAGUCAUCAGUAUCCAGGCUACACAUUAGGCAGUGCCGGAUGUGCCCAGGUUUGACGUGUAUUUCCUGAAUCUUGUCACCUGCAGAAAGCUGCUUGAUCUCACUGGGAUGGCUGUGGCGAGGAUUAAGUGAAUAGUAGCAGAGGAGCCCACAGGAUGCUGACA